rnacentral:sRNA from 1 species
GCUGGGUGUGGUGGCGCACACCUGUAAUCCCAGCUACUCAGGAGGCUGAGGCAGAAGAAUUGCUUGGACCCAGGAGGCAGAGGUUGCAGUGAGCCAAUAUCAUGCCACUGCACUCCAGCCUGAGUGACAGAGCAAGACUCCAUCUCAA